GACGAACGCUGGCGGCGUGCCUAAUACAUGCAAGUAGAACGCACAGUUUAUACCGUAGCUUGCUACACCAUAGACUGUGAGUUGCGAACGGGUGAGUAACGCGUAGGUAACCUGCCUGGUAGCGGGGGGUAACUAUUGGAAACGAUAGCUAAUACCGCAUAAUAUUGAUUAUUGCAUGAUAAUUGAUUGAAAGAUGCUAUUGCAUCACUACCAGAUGGACCUGCGUUGUAUUAGCUAGUAGGUGAGGUAACGGCUCACCUAGGCGACGAUACAUAGCCGACCUGAGAGGGUGAUCGGCCACACUGGGACUGAGACACGGCCCAGACUCCUACGGGAGGCAGCAGUAGGGAAUCUUCGGCAAUGGACGAAAGUCUGACCGAGCAACGCCGCGUGAGUGAAGAAGGUUUUCGGAUCGUAAAGCUCUGUUGUAAGAGAAGAACGGGUGUGAGAGUGGAAAGUUCACACUGUGACAGUAUCUUACCAGAAAGGGACGGCUAACUACGUG
rnacentral:rRNA from 1 species